CCUGGUUUUUGCAAAACAUUUUUGCAGAUAAUAUAGUUCUCGACUUCUCGUUGUUUUAAAUCCUUUUUUUAAAUGUUUUCGAGAUAAACUUUCUGCCUUUGACCAUUUGGUCAAAGAUAUCCAAGUCGUACGUGUUUAAUCUCGCCCGUGAAAGAUGACAAACCAAUUUUAAAAACUCGAGAAAUGUGGGAAAAGACGAUACUUGAAAUAUAUGGAUUUACACUCGGAUUUACAAAGGUAAAAACGUAUUUUCAUAUUCAAUUUUAUUUAGACUUUUAUAUCUUAUUUGACAUCCGAUUAUCAGACUAUUUUUAAAAGAGGGAAUUAGGUUUUGUGUUAUGCACCACUUAUGUAUAAGCUGGGGGUGCUGGAAGCUGAUCUGGGAAGGUAGUUUCUACCUAGCUUUCUUGCAUGGUUGGGGAUACUUCUUGAUUUUUGUGUCAUAUAAAUAGCAAUGUAGAGGCUUGAGAUAAAUCACACUUCUCCCUAAGCUGAGGUAAUAAGGUUUAGCUGAGGUAUAUGCGUAAUGUGCCAAGGCAUACAUGUGUGUUCACACCUCAUUCCCAGGAUGGCCUGUUUUCUUACAAGUUUUCUGAGUAAAUAUCACUCUGAAUAAAUAAUGUACUUAGUACACUCAUAGUUCUGAUACCCCUGAUUUAAGCUGAGGAGUAUGUUAGGUCACAUUUUUUUGUUUACCUUGAUCAUAUGCUAUAAUUAUGUUACUGGUGGAUUCUGUAUAAUUAAUCUGUUUUUUAUUGCAGAUUUAUUCCACAAUGACACACUCCUUUCUGGGUGGCAAAAUACAGUACCAAGCCACAUCUUUGGAAACUGAACAUACUGUAUUUUACAUGCUUCCAAAAAUUAUGUCACCUUGGCUAUAGGCUAUUAAGAGUCAUUUUCAUGAUUGAGACAUUGGACUAAAACUCAUGCCACAUACAUGAAAACAAGCUCCAUAGCCAAAGUGACAUACAUUCUGGAUUCUGCAAGGGUGUAAGGUGUAUUUGACUUUUUGUAAAAUUGUUAGCAGUAAACAAUUUAAAAAACAAAAAUGUAUAAUUUUAAUUGCUAUAAAACUUAUUUACACUUCAAUAAAGUUAUGAUAAUCAUAUAAUUAUUUAUUAAUUAUAAUUAAUUGUUAUGCAUGGUAUUAUAAUUAUAACUUCAUUUUGUAAUUGUUCUGCAUGUUCUUCUGCAUGUUGAUGCCUGUGCCAUCUCUUUUGUGUAUUAAGCAGAUCAUUUCUACAAAAUUAAAGACAACAUUAUUAUCAUGAUACAUUAUACAUCUUUACAUCAC
rnacentral:lncRNA from 1 species